CCUACGGGUGGCUGCAGUAGGGAAUCUUCCGCAAUGGACGAAAGUCUGACGGAGCAACGCCGCGUGAGCGAAGAAGGUCUUCGGAUCGUAAAGCUCUGUUGUUAGGGAAGAACAAGUACGGGAGGAAAUGACCGUACCUUGACGGUACCUAACGAGGAAGCCACGGCAAACUACGUGCCAGCAGCCGCGGUAAUACGGAGGUGGCAAGCGUUGACCGGAAUUAUUGGGCGUAAAGCGCGCGCAGGCGGUCAUUUAAGUCUGAUGUGAAAUCUUGCGGCUCAACCGCAAGCGGUCAUUGGAAACUGGGAGACUGGAGUGCAGAAGAGGAAAGCGGAAAUCCACGUGUAGCGGUGAAAUGCGUAGACAUGUGGGAGAACACCCGUGGCUAAGGCGGGUUUCUGGUCUGUAACUGACGCUGAGGCUCUAAAGCGUGCGGAGCAAACAGGAUUAGAUACACUUGUAGUC
rnacentral:rRNA from 1 species